rnacentral:rRNA from 1 species
UAGAGUUUGAUCCUGGCUCAGGACGAACGCUGGCGGCGUGCUUAACACAUGCAAGUCACGGGGGCCAGCAAUGGCAACCGGCGAACGGGUGCGUAACACGUGAGCAACCUACCGAAAUGAGGGGGAUAGCCGGCCCAACGGCCGGGUAAUACCGCAUACGCUCGAGACCAGGCAUUUGGACUCGAGGAAACCUCCGGGGCAUUUCGAGGGGCUCGCGGCCUAUCAGCUAGUUGGUGAGGUAACGGCUCACCAAGGCGACGACGGGUAGCUGGUCUGAGAGGAUGGCCAGCCACAUUGGGACUGAGAUACGGCCCAGACUCCUACGGGAGGCAGCAGUGGGGAAUCUUGCGCAAUGGCCUAACGGCUGACGCAGCGACGCCGCGUGAGGGAUGACGCUCUUCGGAGUGUAAACCUCUUUUGCCCGGGACGAAUUGCCAACUUUAGUUGGCUUGACGGUACCGGGUGAAUAAGCACCGGCUAACUCCGUGCCAGCAGCCGCGGUAAUACGGGGGGUGCGAGCGUUGUCCGGAAUCACUGGGCGUAAAGGGCGCGUAGGUGGUCUUAUAAGGGUGUGGUGAAAGCCCGGGGCUCAACCCCGGGUCGGCCGUGCCGACUGUAAGACUAGAGUGCUGUAGGGGCAGGCGGAAUUCCGGGUGUAGCGGUGGAAUGCGUAGAGAUCCGGAGGAAGACCGGUGGCGAAGGCGGCCUGCUGGGCAGAUACUGACACUGAGGCGCGACAGCGUGGGGAGCAAACAGGAUUAGAUACCCUGGUAGUCCACGCCGUAAACGAUGGGUACUAGGUGCCUGGGGGAGCGACCCCUUGGGUGCCGGCGCUAACGCAGGAAGUACCCCGCCUGGGGAGUACGGCCGCAAGGCUGAAACUCAAAGGAAUUGACGGGGGCCCGCACAA